UUCUCCUUCUUUUCCCUCUAUCCCUUCUACCUGGUUGUCGCAACUAGAUGUUGGAGCCCAGGAGCCAGACGCCACCGUCGACGACGACUCCUACUACAUCGGAGGUGCCUACUACUACGUGCUGCCCGCUGACGACGACCAGGAGUAGUUUAGGAGGAUCCCAGGCAGGAGGCCUGCGCCUCUUUCGAUCUGUAUCCCAGUUUGUGCUAGCCUUCUUAAGGCAAACUUGUUUAACUUAUGUCUGUACUCAGAUAUUGUUGCUUCCGCUGACUCGUCUAUGAUCGAGCUCUUGUGUUCGAGCCCUCGAGGCCCCUGGCUUGUAAUAUGAUGCUUGUAUGACUUAUUUUAUUUGUAGAGUUGUGUUGUGAUAUCUUCCCGUGAGUCCCUGAUCUUGAUCGUACACGUUUGCGUGUAUGAUUAGUGUACGAUUAAAUCGGGGGUGUCACAAGUUGGUAUCAGAGCCGACUGCCUGUAGGAAUCCCCUUUCCAACUCCUUGGCCGAAGUUGAGUCUAGUCGAUGAAAACUGUUUUUCUAACAUGGCUGUGCGGCCCAUGGGCCCACGUUGCCAUUGGGUGGUAUUACGAUCUUUUACUCCUCGAUCUUUACUCCGGGAUUCUGAACUCUCUUCUAUUCGGGUUAAAAGGUUUUUACUAAAAUCUAACUUUAGGUUCUCAAAAUUACUUUCUCCCGGAGAGCCCCUUCAGUCCAGAUGAUCGCCGGCUGCACCAGAAGAUAUCGAAGAUACUCUCUGAUAUUCUCUCGAGACCUUGUGUCGUUGCUUUUGCAAUUCCCUUCCACCGAAAUAUCCCUAUGGAUAAAUACUUACACCUGUCGUGCUUACUUUUAUUCCCAGUCGAUCUUGUUAUUAUAAGAUACCCCGAGAAUACUUUGUGCCUACUGCCUUGCAGUUCUUUGCCACAUGCAUACCACUACGGAUAAUUACUCGCAUUUAUCGAGUAUCCGCUCAUCCCCAGAUAUUCAUGCAGUUCACAAAAUUCUUCGAAAUACCAUUCGGUCUUCCGAAAAUCCUGAGCAAGCUAUUGCUCCUGAAAUUCUUGCUUGCUUGCAUUAUGGUUAAUCCCAUAAGUAUAGUAAUCUUAUUGGCAACCCUGUCAAUAUCAUUUUGAGUCCAUUGACUCAAUAUGUUGCGAAGCUCGCAAUCCUCACUCGGAUCAUAGAAUUCAUCCUUCCGGCUCAGAUGUCAUUUAAAACGUGAGCUGGUCCUCGGCCAAUUAGAUUGCCAUCGAUUGUACCCCUAAGUCUAUUCAACUUGUCUGUCCUUGAUCAGAGCGUUUGCUCCUGAUCCCUUGAUUUGAAAAUCAUAAUUCCUUUGUUAUUUAAAUGUUGAAUUAUUCAGAUGUUCUGUAAAACGAUGCAUUUGCAUUCUUUCUUCCUCUGGUUGAGUACCAAUGCUCACGUCAGCUCUGUUAUGGACCGGCAAGUCCUUUAAUGGACUUUAUCCGACACCGUCCUUCAUAUUCAAUAACCUUGUGAGCCUUCCCUCGGAUACAUAAUGCCUUUGGUAAAUUGUAUCAUCUACUUUCUCAACCUUGCUCUACUUUCGAGCUUGUGAUAUUUACUCUUGAAGCUUGUGGUAUAUGUUUCAAAGAAGCCCCUAUGGGUUGAACAUAUGCCUUCUCUAAACUGUGUGAACUCAAAACUUUUCACGAGUCAUACACUUCUAGUAUUUUGCCAGAUAAAAUCUCAACACUACAACUUCUUCGAAAGUGAGAAGUGAAUGAAAGGUUAUGCAUUGGAGAAGUGGGAGUCGACCUUGAACUUUGUGUUUAUGCCGAUGGACACGAUGUAGAUCUUAUCAUUAAAGCUUCUCUUAAAUUAAACUAUUCCUUUGGUAUAAGUUCAUCUUAUAUCCAGGAUCUGGCCUUUUGCAAUCAUGGUUCCGACCAUGUUCUCCUUUAAAUACCAUUUCGCGUGCAAGUUUAAGCGCUUGUCUUCUGUAAAGCAAUACCCCGAUCCAACUUAUACUUUGAUCUGUCAUCAAGUAUUACCCCCUGGUAUCUCGAGGAUACCACGGGAUACAUAACUUCUUAUGAGUUCUUCAUCAACUAAUAUUCUUGCCGAUUCCAUUUCUCCAACGGGUUCUCAGUUGUUAGAACCCCUCAAGGACACCAACAACUGAAUUGAGUCCGCACUACGAUUCAACAACUCUUGGUAACCUUCAUUACUUACGAGUCGGAACUCGAUCACGUCAUUCCGAGCCUACUCGGCUAUGUCAUUAUCGUGCCAAAUUUUAACUGUGCUACCUGGUCCUUCUUUCCGGAGCACAAUUUCGACGAUGGGCUAAGCUUACAUCGAUCUUCCUUGUCUUAUCGUUUCACCUCAAACAACAAGCUUGAUUUCAAGUUUGUGUCCUACCCAUGGUUCCAAUAACCUUCCGCUUCAUCAUUCCUUUGACCUGAUGUCAUCGCUGAUUGAUUACAUCUUCAUGAAAUCUCUCGACAAAUGUGUCGUGAUCAUCAUCGACCUUAUGAGCUCUUCCAGGAUAUCAAUUGAGUUCAUGAUGAGAAAUACUAUCCUUGCCUCCGCUGAUUUGUGUUAUCUUUGACCACUUUAUUGCCUUCCGUUCAACACAAACUUGUUCGUGUUUUGAGUUAUACCUUGAGAUCCUUGCUACCCAGCAUUUGUUCUUCUUUACCUUGGAAUAUUACCACCUUUUAUGUCAAGAAUGUCGUGGUAAUUUUACCACCUCUUGAGAAUUCUUGAUAUAGUAAUAUCUCUCGCCUUUUGUGUUCAUUUCUUGGUCUCUGUGUUAAUUCUAACCGGAAUACCGACAAAUGGUCUGUGAUGUGUAAAUGCUAAACUUCUAGCAACCCUAUUGCUUUGAGGUUAUUGGUCUACAGUUUCAUUCUAAGUCUAUUGCUUAUUGAAUUAUCAUUCGAACAUUGAUCGUGCUACCUAGUCUAGAUUCCUGGGUGCACCCUUCUAUCAUUGUUCAGUUGUGUAUGCUUCCCUCGAGCAUACAUCAUUAUAUCAUUUGAUCCGACAAAUGAUAUUUCCUUGUUCACAUAAUUGUGGAAAUCAAUCCUUUGGAAAUCUCGAUGAUUUUUGCUGAGCCUAUCAGCCACCUCCUCAUCCUCUCCUUGGUUUACUGAUGAACUCUUGUGUCGGAACUCGCUCCCAUAGUUCAAUUCCCGAGAAUCUGACAAUGUCAUCUCGACAAUUUGUGUUGCACCUCUCUUCUCAGGCAUCCCGAGUCUGCGAUAUCCUGGCGCCAAUCAGAACUGGAUCUCGGUCAGAUAUGAUGGUUGGAACAUAUUUCAAAGAGUUUUCUACAUUAUAUCAUGUCAUGGAUAUUAUGCUCUGUUUGUCCUUGGGAAGGAUAUACCCUUGAAAUAUGUCUGUAUACACAUUUUCCUUUCCAUUGUUCUGGUUAAACCUGAUAAUUUCUUUUCCUUUCCAUGGGUUUGUUUAAACCUCCUUGUGAUCUAUAUUAUAUAAGCAGUAAUAUUUCCCUGCUUAUGUAAACACCUCGUUGUACCACUCUGUCAGUAAGACCCUGUUGCUAUUGUUGAUGACACUUCGGUAGCCACCGAUGAAUGAGAACUUUGCCUAUUGGUCCGCCUCGAUCCACGAGCAGGAAAAAUGGUUCUCUUCGUCCCUCGCCCUUGGUCCCGACGUUGUUGCCGACAUGACCAAUAGACUAUCCCCUGACAUGCCUUGCUUACAUGAUCGUGCAAAAUGUCACCAACCUUCCUACUUUUAACCGCAUGGUGGGCCCAUAACCCAUAGUUCCAUAUGGUCGAAACCUGACUCUCCUGUACACCUUGUUAACAAAGUUAUCCCUUGCUCUUGGUUUCGUAGGUAAUUCGUGAGCCACCUCCCUAGUGCUCCAUUCUGGUAUCAGACGCAAUACUUACUCUCGCUGCUCUGAACCCUUUCUCACUAUGGUUCAGACCUUGAGCAACUAUCUAUCCGCUUGGACCCUCUCAUUGUACCUUCGUACAAUACUCUUGAUGUAUUUUAUAUGUUCAACUCGAGAGGUAGUCUUAUGCUCAUUCAUGGGUUAACCCCCAGAUUGUUUCCCUCAAAGGCAUUCUGUCAUAGCUGAGCUGCCCCUUAUCCUUUCUUAAGUACGAUGGAGUUCCCGAAGAAAUGAUGACAAGUUUAUCAUGAUGCAUUGGAAUAAAGAAUUGAAGACAUCAACAAAAGGGAUUAACAUCUUCGAGAAGAUCCAUCGAAAUAUAAUAACCGGAACAUUCCCACUUACUCCCCUCUUAAAUCUCGGGACGAGAUUUCUUAUAGUGGAGGAGAAUUGUGACGCCCGGAUAAUUAAGCUACAGUAAUUCCCUGCUAAUGAUGCCACGUCAUCACGGUUACUAUUGUCGAUCUAGCGAUGGUUCAAAACCGAUUCAAAUUCAAAAUCAAGCAAACAAUAAAACUUUUCAAAUAUUGAAACUAAAAUGUUCGGGUUGUGCCAAAUAAUGUGUAGGUAAUUAUGGUGAAGAAACCAAACUUCUAUAAAUUAUUCCAAUGCACUAAAAUAAUUAAAACAACAACUAAACCUAUUAUAAAUGCCCUUUUGAAAUUUAUAAAAAUGCGAACUAAAUAUUUUAAAAAUACCAAAAUAUAUUAUGGAAGGGGGCUAAUUUACAACCUCCAUUUAGGUACUGGUCUUAUAAAUUUACAAAACUGAAAACUAUUAAAAACUAUAAUAGAAAACAGAAAAGUAAAAUAAAAUAAAAACAGAAAAGAAUAUACAAAAGAAGGACCCCCCACUAGGCCUCGGCCCAGUUGGCCAUCGGGCCAACCAGGCCGGCCCAGCUGGCACCUACAACACCCCCUGGGGCGACCGAACCCUAGCCCGGCCACCCCACUCCCCCCGCACAAUCCCCACCUCUCCCCUCGUCUCCCUCACCCGCCGCCACCCCAUGACGCCCACUCCCCUCCUCGCUUUCCCCUUCCCCCCCACGAUCCAGAUCGGAUCGUGGCCCGACCGCGCACGCCGCCCCGCCACUGGACCUCGACCUCGCCGCCUGGGAUGCCGCUCGACGCGGGAGCCCCUUCGCCGCCUCGACCACGCCUCGUCUUCGCCGGCUCCUCUCGGCCUCCUUCCUCUCUGCCCGCGGCGCCAUCGUCUGCUACCUCCUCUUCGACCACGAGCAUGAGCUCGGGACCCCGUCGUCGCUGGACUAACACCGCCCGUCGCCGGAUCUCCCUCGUCGGACUUCCCCCGACCUCCGUCGAGCCCACUGCCACGGUCCCUACUCCCCACCGUGAGGCCCUCCCUCCUUCUCCUAUGCCCCACCCCGCACUGCAUCGCCAUGCACGCCGCUCGGGGCCGCGCCUCGCCCCCCGCCCGCUGCGCCGUUGCUGCCUUACCCCGCACGCGCCGUCCCGCGUGCUCCGCUGGCCUCCUUGUCGCGAGCCUCGUGCGCCUCCCCCCCUGCUCGUUGCUGCUCCGGCGCGGCUCCGACCGCGCCCCCGCGCAGCCACCGCGCUCUGCGUCCGUGACCGGCGCCCACAGCGUGUCGUCCCACGGCGCUCCCCGCCCCUGCUGCUCCUUCCCCGUGCGACGUGCUGUCGCCUCUCCCCCUCCUGCGCCUUGUCCGCCUUGGCCUCGCCCUCGCCCUGCAACUCGCCUCGCCACCACUGCCUGCAGCUACUGCUGCUCCGCUGCCGUGUGCCAUCUGCCGCGACGGCCCUCUCCGCUACCCGCGCCGCCCUGCUCCGGCUGCGGCCGCGACCGUCGGUGCCCACAGGGCCGUUGCCCUUCACCCCAGUGCCAGUCGCCGCCUCUUCGGUGGCUCGCCGGAGCCCCGUCCGCCCCAUCGUGGCCGCCGCUCCCCAACCGCGCCCAAACGGGAUGGGCGUCAGCCUCAGCGCCUGGAACCCGUCUACCCAGCGCCCGUUAAGGCCGCUGGGCCUAUGAGAGCUAGGCCCACGCCCCAUGUGCCAAUGACAGGUGGGCCUAGACCCAGAACGAAAACGAUUUAUAAAAAAAAUAUAAUUAAUUAAAAAUAAAUAAAUUAGUAAUAAGUAAAUAAAAAUGUUAAUUAAUUAAUUAACUAAAUUAAUUAACUUAAUUAAUCCUGUUUAAUUAAACUAAUUAAACAUUAGGUACCUAGUUAACUAAUUAAACAGAUUAAUAGGUUAAUUUGGUUAUUAUACCUAUGACAUGUGGGACCCACACGUCAGUGACCCAGUCAACACCUCUGUUGACUGCUGACAUCAUGCUGAUGUCAUGAUGACAUCAGCAUGUACUAUUCUGGAUAAUGUUAGAAUUAAGUAAUUAAAUAAAUCCUAAAAAAUGAUUUAAAGCUUUUAAAAUUAAUAUAAAAUAAACCGUAACCCGGAUGAAAAUACUUUGUACAUGAAAGUUGCUCAGAACGACGAGACGAACCCGGAUACGCAGCCCGUUCGUCCGCCACGCAUCCCUAACCUAUCCAACUCGCAACUUUCCCCCUCAGGCUCCUCUGCCCGAAAACGCGAAACACCAGGGAUACUUUCCCGGAUGUUUCCCCCCUUCACUGGUAUCACCUCAUACCGCGUUAGGGCACACCUAGCACCACGCUUUGCUUUGUCAUGCAUCAUUAUGCAUCUGUUUGCAUUGUAUUUAUUGUUUCUCCCCCCUCUUCUUCCGCUAGACACCGAGACCGACGCCGCUGCUACCCAGUACGACUACGGAGUUGACGACCCCUCUCUCUUGCCAGAGCAACCAGGCAAGCCCCCUCCCCUUUUGAUCACCAGAUAUCGCCUACUCUCCUCUAUACUGCUUGCAUUAGAGUAGUGUAGCAUGUUACUGCUUUCCGUUAUUCCUAUCCUGAUGCAUAGCCUGUCCUUGCUACUACUGUUGUUACCAUUACCUGCUAUCCUACUGCUUAGUAUAGGAUGCUAGUGUUCCAUCAGUGGCCCUACACUCUUGUCCAUCUGCCAUGCUAUACUACUGGGCCGUGAUCACUUCGGGAGGUGAUCACGGGCAUACAAUAUACUUUGCACAAUUACCUUACCUGUGAUACUGUUCGGAGUUGGGGGCUGAAGGGGCAGGUGGCUCCAUCCCGGUAGAGGUGGACCUGGGUUCCCGACGGCCCCCGACUGUUACUUUGAGGCGUAGCGACAGGGCAGGUUGAGACCACCUAGGAGAGAGAUGGGCCUGGCCCUGGUCGGCGUUCGCGGAUACUUAACACGCUUAACGAGAUCUGGGUAUUUGAUCUGAGUCUGGCCGUUUGGUCUAUACGCACUAACCAUCUACGCGGGAGUAGUUAUGGGUAUCCCGGCGUCGUGGUAUCAGCCGAAGCCUUCGUGACGUCAGCAACGGAGCGGCGUGCGCUGGAUUGGACUGGAACACCACUAGGCUAGGUCUGCUUCCGGCCGCCCACGCAACGUGCAGGUGUGCUAAGGGCGAUGGGCCCAGACCCCUGGGCGCUUAGGUUUAGACCGGCGUGCUGACCUCUCUGUUGGUCUAGGUGGGGCUGCGACGUCUUGAUCUUCUGAGGCCGGGCAUGACCCAGGAAAGUGUGUCCGGCCAAAUGGGAUCGAGCGUGUUGGGGUAUGUGGUGCACCCCUGCAGGGAAGUUAAUCUAUUCGAAUAGCCGUGAUAUUCGGUAACAGGACGACUUGGAGUUGUACCUUGACCUUAUGACAACUAGAACCGGAUACUUAAUAAAAUACACCCUUCAAAGUGCCAGAUACAACCGGUGAUCGCUCUCUCACAGGGCGACGAGGGGAGGAUCAUCGGUUAGGAUUAUGCUAUAGGAUGCUACUUGGAGGACUUCAGUCUACUCUCUUCUACAUGUUGCAAGAUGGAGGUGGCCAGAAGCGUAGUCUUCGACAGGAUUAGCUAUCCCCCUCUUAUUCUGGCUUUCUGCAGUUCAGUCCAUAUAUGAUAGCCUUAUUCCAUUUGAUACCAAUGCAUACAUAUGUAGUGUAGCUCCUUGCUUGCGAGUACUUUGGAUGAGUACUCACGGUUGCUUUCUCCUUCUUUUCCCUCUAGCCCUUCUACCUGGUUGUCGCAACCAGAUGUUGGAGCCCAGGAGCCAGACGCCACCGUCGACGACGACUCCUACUACAUCGGAGGUGCCUACUACUACGUGCUGCCCGCUGACGACGACCAGGAGUAGUUUAGGAGGAUCCCAGGCAGGAGGCCUGCGCCUCUUUCGAUCUGUAUCCCAGUUUGUGCUAGCCUUCUUAAGGCAAACUUGUUUAACUUAUGUCUGUACUCAGAUAUUGUUGCUUCCGCUGACUCGUCUAUGAUCGAGCUCUUGUAUUCGAGCCCUCGAGGCCCCUGGCCUGUAAUAUGAU
rnacentral:lncRNA from 1 species